AGUCACAAUUCCUCUGAGACCCUGAGAUCCUGGUGUGACCAAGCUUCUGGGAUGCUGGGAUCCUGGAAUCCUAAGAUCCUGGGCAUGUUAAAGCGCCUGGAAAUGGUACCUCCUCUGGAGACCAAGGGGCUGUCUGCUGUGUUCAAAAUCAAGCUGCAUCUCUAACAGAUGAGUGUUGAUCUCUGUUACACUAAAGUGUAUGUGUGCACAUGAAUGCAGGCACUCAUGGGGACCAAAAGAGGGAGGAACAACCAGUUUCCUGUUCCUCAAAUGAGAUACUAAGAAAGCUACAGCAAAAGAAAAGAGUUUUAUAAGUAAGUAUGAGAGACAGUGUUGGUACCCAGAAUCAUCGCAAAUGAAUUAUGAAGAAAACAUCACCACCAGAAAACUCAACAGAAGCAUUGCCAAGACGGGAACAUAUUCUCUUAAAGAGAGGCCACAGGAAUGGCUGAAACCAUGGUGUUCAUCUCUUCCUUUUAUUGAAAAUAGCCGUUUUUCACUUUCCCAUAGUACAUCCCGAUUAAAGGUUACCCCUCCUUCUA
rnacentral:lncRNA from 1 species